UAUCUGAGUAUGUAAGAGGAGAAUUUUCCUAGUUCCCUCUCAGGCCUCACCCCUCACCCUCAGUCGUCUCUGCAUCAGGCCUCAGCCGUCGCCAGUCGCCAGUUGCUGGCUCGCCGCUCCUCUUCUCAAGCCUUGCCGACUCGGUGACUCACCGCUCUCACGCCGAAGCACCUCCACUGUCGGUGUCGCUGGCUCGUCAUCCUUGGUCUUCCUUAUUCCGUCACACCUUCUGCUCCGGGUCCGCUCUCACUUACUCGCCGAAGCAAUCAUUCAGCCUCUCAAUUGUUCCCUUUCAACAGGCUGAGUGAUGCUGUCGACCACAAUGAAGUAGGGGGUAUUGUAAGGAUGUGAUGUAUGUUGUUGUUCAUGGGCACUUGAAAAGCUUUCGGGGUAAAAUGCAGAUAAUAGCUUUGCUAUAAGUUCUUUGGACAGAAUUGUAUGGAUGGGCUCAAGGGCAUUGAAAACUGGUGAUGGAUUAUUUGCAUCAGCCUUCACCAAUGCAAGUUGUACUCUGGUUUAAAGUCUUCAUGGGUCUAGGAAGAUGGUCAUCAAUAUAUAAUCU